CCUACGGGAGGCAGCAGUGAGGAAUAUUGGUCAAUGGACGAGAGUCUGAACCAGCCAAGUAGCGUGAAGGAUGACUGCCCUAUGGGUUGUAAACUUCUUUUAUAAAGGAAUAAAACGAGGCACGUGUGCCUUUUUGCAUGUACUUUAUGAAUAAGGAUCGGCUAACUCCGUGCCAGCAGCCGCGGUAAUACGGAGGAUCCGAGCGUUAUCCGGAUUUAUUGGGUUUAAAGGGAGCGUAGAUGGGUUGUUAAGUCAGUUGUGAAAGUUUGCGGCUCAACCGUAAAAUUGCAAUUGAUACUGGCAGUCUAGAGUACAGUUGAGGUAAGCGGAAUUCGUGGUGUAGCGGUGAAAUGCUUAGAUAUCACGAAGAACCCCGAUUGCGAAGGCAGCUUACUAAACUGUGACUGACAUUGAUGCUCGAAAGUGUGGGUAUCAAACAGGAUUAGAUACCCGAGUAGUC
rnacentral:rRNA from 1 species